GGCUCAGGAUGAACGCUAGCGGCAGGCCUAACACAUGCAAGUCGAGGGGCAGCAUAAUAAAGCUUGCUUUAUUGGUGGCGACCGGCGCACGGGUGCGUAACGCGUAUGCAACCUACCCCGUACUGAGGGAUAGCCCGGAGAAAUUCGGAUUAAGACCUCAUGGUAUUGAUGAAUCGCACGGUUUAUCAAUUAAAGAUUACGGUACGGGAUGGGCAUGCGUCCUAUUAGCUAGAUGGUGAGGUAACGGCUCACCAUGGCUACGAUAGGUAGGGGGCCUGAGAGGGUGGUCCCCCACACUGGUACUGAGACACGGACCAGACUCCUACGGGAGGCAGCAGUGAGGAAUAUUGGUCAAUGGGCGCAAGCCUGAACCAGCCAUGCCGCGUGCAGGAAGAAGGUCCUAUGGAUUGUAAACUGCUUUUAUUUGGGAAUAAACCUCCUUACGUGUAGGGAGCUGAAGGUACCAAAUGAAUAAGCACCGGCUAACUCCGUG
rnacentral:rRNA from 1 species